rnacentral:rRNA from 1 species
CCCUUAGAUGUUCUGGGCCGCACGCGCGCUACACUGAUGCAUUCAACGAGUCUAAAACCUGGUCUGAGAGGGCUGGGUAAUCUUUUGAAAGUGCAUCGUGAUUGGGAUAGAUGAUUGCAAUUCUUCAUCUUCAACGAGGAAUGCCUAGUAAACGCAAGUCAUCAGCUUGCAUUGAUUACGUCCCUGCCCUUUGUACACACCGCCCGUCGCUCCUACCGAUUGAACGAUCCGAUGAAAACUGUGGAUUGAGAGUCUGAGUGGGUUCGCCUACCUCAACUUUCGCGAAGCGGUUUAAAUCUUAUCGUUUAGAGGAAGGAGAAGUCGUAACA